GUCUAAGUAUAAGCAACUAUACGGUGAAACUGCGAAUGGCUCAUUAAAUCAGUUAUCGUUUAUUUGAUAGUACCUUACUAACAUGGAUAACCGUGGUAAUUCUAGAGCUAAUACAUGCUAAAAACCUCGACUUCGGAAGGGGUGUAUUUAUUAGAUAAAAAACCAAUGCCCUUCGGGGCUCCUUGGUGAAUCAUAAUAACUUAACGAAUCGCAUGGCCUUGCGCCGGCGAUGGUUCAUUCAAAUUUCUGCCCUAUCAACUUUCGAUGGUAGGAUAGUGGCCUACCAUGGUAUCAACGGGUAACGGGGAAUUAGGGUUCGACUCCGGAGAGGGAGCCUGAGAAACGGCUACCACAUCCAAGGAAGGCAGCAGGCGCGCAAAUUACCCAAUCCCGACACGGGGAGGUAGUGACAAUAAAUACUGAUACAGGGCUCUUUUGGGUCUUGUAAUUGGAAUGAGUACAAUUUAAAUCCCUUAACGAGGAACAAUUGGAGGGCAAGUCUGGUGCCAGCAGCCGCGGUAAUUCCAGCUCCAAUAGCGUAUAUUAAAGUUGUUGCAGUUAAAAAGCUCGUAGUUGAACCUUGGGCCUGGCUGGCCGGUCCGCCUCACCGCGUGUACUGGUCCGGCCGGGCCUUUCCUUCUGGGGAACCUCAUGCCCUUCACUGGGCGUGUUGGGGAACCAGGACUUUUACUUUGAAAAAAUUAGAGUGUUCAAAGCAGGCCUUUGCUCGAAUACAUUAGCAUGGAAUAAUAGAAUAGGACGUGUGGUUCUAUUUUGUUGGUUUCUAGGACCGCCGUAAUGAUUAAUAGGGAUAGUCGGGGGCAUCAGUAUUCAAUCGUCAGAGGUGAAAUUCUUGGAUUGAUUGAAGACUAACUACUGCGAAAGCAUUUGCCAAGGAUGUUUUCAUUAAUCAGUGAACGAAAGUUAGGGGAUCGAAGACGAUCAGAUACCGUCGUAGUCUUAACCAUAAACUAUGCCGACUAGGGAUCGGACGGUGUUAGUAUUUUGACCCGUUCGGCACCUUACGAGAAAUCAAAGUUUUUGGGUUCUGGGGGGAGUAUGGUCGCAAG
rnacentral:rRNA from 1 species